AUACGUAGGGGGCUAGCGUUAUCCGGAAUUACUGGGCGUAAAGGGUGCGUAGGUGGUUUCUUAAGUCAGAGGUGAAAGGCUACGGCUCAACCGUAGUAAGCCUUUGAAACUGGGAAACUUGAGUGCAGGAGAGGAAAGUGGAAUUCCUAGUGUAGCGGUGAAAUGCGUAGAGAUUAGGAGGAACACCAGUGGCGAAGGCGACUUUCUGGACUGUAACUGACACUGAGGCUCGAAAGCCAGGGGAGC
rnacentral:rRNA from 1 species